GUGAGUAGUUCAGAGUUUGUAUCCUGGCUCAGGAUUAACGCUGGCGGCGUGCAUAACACAUUCAAGUCGAACGGUGAACCCUUCGGGGGGAUCAGUGGCGGACGGGUGAGUAACGCGUGAGCAACCUGCCCUUGUGUGCGGGAUACCAACUGGAAACGGUUGUUAAUACCGCAUGACCCAAUAGUACGGCAUCGUACAGUUGGCAAAGGUUCACUGCACAAGGAUGGGCUCGCGUCUGAUUAGAUAGUUGGUGAGGUAACGGCUCACCAAGUCAACGAUCAGUAGCCGGACUGAGAGGUUGAACGGCCACAUUGGAACUGAGAUACGGUCCAG
rnacentral:rRNA from 1 species